UACGGAGGGAGCUAGCGUUGUUCGGAAUUACUGGGCGUAAAGCGCGCGUAGGCGGCUUUGUAAGUCAGAUGUGAAAUUCCCGGGCUCAACCUGGGGGCUGCAUUUGAUACGUGUUUGCUUGAGUGGGGAAGAGGGUCGUGGAAUUCCCAGUGUAGAGGUGAAAUUCGUAGAUAUUGGGAAGAACACCGGUGGCGAAGGCGGCGACCUGGUCCUUGACUGACGCUGAGGCGCGAAAGCGUGGGGAGCAAACAGG
rnacentral:rRNA from 1 species